CUUCCAGCUCUCCCUCUCAUCAUGUAUUACCCUCCUCUGUUUUCAGGCUACAGGAGCUACAGGAUUUAGCAGCCAGUGACAGGAAUAGGCCUGCAAAAACCUGCCAAAUGUGGAGAAUUAACUCCAGUUCUAAAGGCUGAGCCUUGGGGCAAGGCAUGUGAAUGGGGGUUUCCUAUUCAGGUUCCAUGUAUAAUCCAAAGGCUUUGAAGAGCCAGGAAGGUUUGUUAUGGGAUGAUGGGUGACUCCUGCUCCCCAGGUGAGCUUUCCUUUACAUUGGCACACAUUUAACUCCAGGAGUUACAAUGCUUAUCGCUGCUAUGUAUUACUGUUUGCAGAGUUUUGAAGCUGUGUAAGCAGCUGGAGGUCAUUGAAGGCUGCUGGUUACUGCAGCCAAACAGGUCUCCUCAGAUGGCAGGAGUAACUGGGCUUUCCAGGGCUCCAGUACAAGCAGAGCUGGCAGUGAGACCAAAGUCACUCCUCCUAGACAGUUUGAGUAUGUCUAACAGCCACCCCUCCAUACCUCAGUGAGGGUAUAAGUACUGAGCAUUAGGACCACACUGGAGAAAAAGUUUUGGCCUGUUCUCUGCCGAUAGUGAAACAUGACGGGAAUAUGGGAGGUGAACAGUCUUGCCCAGGGUCCCUGAGAGUGGUUCACUGCAGCACAGGGCACUUCCACACUGAACUCAUCACAAGUCUCAGGGGGAUGAAAAGCCAACUACAAGACAGAGGAUGACAGACUUGGCACAGGAUGGUGCAACAAGGAAUGAGCAUACACGAUAACCUAUCUGUAGUUUCUUCCAAGUUUAUUCACACAGGAAGAUGGUGAGAGGUUUUGGAUAUUUAGGCAUGUUGAUUACAUAUUUUUUGCUUCAUUGUCUUUUUGUUUUAAAUGCUGGUAAAAUCAGCACUGGAAUGGGAAGAGGCAAGGGAAAAGAGGGGAUGGACAAACUACUGUACCAACUGCUCUCAUUUUUAUAAUCCCAAGCAGAAACCCUGUGAGCUCUACCUUGUGAGGGAAGUGGAGUGAGCUUUUCAUUCUGUGCACUCCAGGUGAAAAUAUACCCACUGGUAAACUACUUUCACCAGCACUUUCAUAUGCACUCAUUCACACUUGCUCCCCAAAGCUAAUCUUAUUAGUGUAGAUGGACUGAGUGAGUAACCAGAUGGGCCAGGUUUUGUUUUGUGUCUGCCUGCACAGAACUCAGAGAAUACAAGACUAGGGAAAAGAAAUAGCAGGUGAAUGUCCACAGCAAGAAUCAUGAACGUGAUAACUCCUACUCUAAAGGGAGUCCCUAAAGCCUCUUCAAACCAUCCUUUUGUCAUGACUGAAGAGCUGACAUAUAUGCUUACUUAAAACCUAUUCAAAAACCAUGGUCUAUAUGAACUGGACAUUUGUUCUUCUUUAUAUAGAGACUGACAAAUCCUUUUAUAUAGUUACAGCUGUUUAAGGCAGAAAGUAAGUCUUUGACUCCGCAAGGAGGAGGAGUGACUCAAUCAAGCCCUACUGCUAGCAAGGAUGACAUACAAGGAUCAACAGUGUUGUCAUGAAAUAUGUAAUAAUAUUUACAACUGAUUAUCUACUGGUUAUGUAUUGUGUACUGAUUAUGCAGAAACAGCCUUAAAUGUUCACAGAAAUACUAUGCAGCAGUUCAGAACCUUUUACUUCUGGAAUGCCUCUACCACUGCUCUCAGUUCUCAUCCAUGAUACAACGUUUUUGGGUGCACAGUGCCAAGCUCACCAGGCAAGUGACUUUGCAGGAGGAAUCAUUAUGGUCCAUGAAGCCAGUGAAAGCCUCCUCCUCUGAAUAGUUUUGGUUCAUAGUUACCUUGUGGGAUUGAACUAAACAUGACAGAGUUAAACACUGCUCUCAAACACUUUCAAACAAGCUCAUGUUUAUUUUUGUUAUUUGCAUUUCAGCAUCAUCUAAACAUAGUAACAGAUCUAUCACAGAGGGCUUGAAUAACAGAGUGGUAACAAGAGCCAGAAGAACAAGCUGCCCAGACUUCACACAUAUGCCAAAUCACUGCUGGACACUCAGAAUUACAGUGUCACCCCAGCUCUCCAUACAAAUGCCAGAUUCAUGCACAAAAUCGACAUGUUCAAAGAUACAGAUACAUUUGACCAACUAGGUUGUUUCAGUACAGAGUAAUUUAGUAAGAUAAUACAUGAAAAACUCCACAUAACUCUUCAGCUGCGAAUAAAACUACAACUGCCUGUGAGCCAGGGUGUGACUCCCUGUCACAUCACCACUAUUUGAAAGACAGCACCAUGGGGUGACAUGAGCUCCCCCGAUUUUUCCUUAGCAAAUUUGCACUAGUAACUAACAACUGGCGGUGGGAAAACCACUACUUGUGUAGCUGAUAUCCGUGAGUGAGACUUCACAACCAGUUUAAGUCAGCUGAAGACUCUGAUGCUGCGAAAGGGCUGUGGAAGACAGAAAGGGCCCUUCUUACAGCACCAUCUGCUUAAGUUGGGGGUUAGGUGUUACAUCAAACCCUUUGUCUCACCUGCAAAAUAUGGAUAUCAGAGGGGGUAUGAGGUUUAAUUUAAAAACUAGCAAGAGCUCUGGGUUACCUGGUAUAGGAAGUUAAGUGUGAGGUUCUGUCAGGUGGAAAUGCAGCCUGCCAAUAACUGCCAUACUGGCAUAAAUGGCAAAUAAAAAGUGUGCUGGAAGGAAAUAUCCUACCUCCCUAACUAGCCCAACAAAGUGCCUGCUGAAGUGAUGAAAUCACUGAGUGCUGCUCAGUUCCCCAGAAGUGUAUUCUCCCUAAACGCAGCACGACUGCCAUGAAUUAGG